rnacentral:lncRNA from 1 species
GAGCUGAUGGAGGAGGAGUCUGUUUGUGCCAGGGGAGGGGUCCUUUGGGCUUAUUGGAUGGUGAGAGACGAGCCUUGGGCUGAGUAUGUGAUACGAGUCCGAGGUUAUUGCAGUUCUUUGGGCUCUAUAUAUGAUGCUUUUCCGAGGAAUUAAACGAUUUGGGCUUUAUGGCCAUGAGGCGGCCUUGUUGCGCGACUUGGGCUAAGGAAGGGGGUCGUUAGUGGACCAGCCCCUUUUUUAUAAAGAGAAAAAGGAGCUGGCUACCCUCAUUUCUCAUGCCACGGAUAUAGACAAGGCUGUGGGAGGGGUAGGGGUGGGGGGCGGCCUGGCAACACUUGAACCGGACUAUUCCCUUCUCUUAAUGGGAUUGAGGACAUAUUUGGUUGGGGAUAGCUGAACUAUGAAAUAAGAAUGAAAAUGAGUAACUCCUGUUCUAGACAUUUGGUUUAAAGGAGUUUCAUUUCCUUUCCAAUUUUAGGAAGUUGGACUCUUAAAUAGUAAUGGAAACGAGUAACUCCCAUUCCAAUUAUUUGGUUGAGAAGAGCUUUGUUCCCAUUUUGAUUUUGGGGAGAAUGAAAAUAUCAUAAUCCUCCAAAACUCAAUCCCUACUCUUUUCUAAUAUUUAAAUUCCAUUCCGAUUCCGGUCACGAACUAAACAUGCGGGAGGAUAUGGCCAUUCCAAUUCCAUUCUAAUCUAUUUCGAUUCUCACUCCAGUCAUAAACUAAAUAUGCCCUAAGAGAAAGAGCCUCAUUCGGAAUUGCUUUUGGAGGGUAAAAAAACGCUACUUGACGGGUCAAAAUGUACCAUUUGGAGAGCUAAACAUAUUUUGUAUGAUUUUGAGAUAGUUUGAUAAAUAUUUUAGUUCAUCUAAUAAUUAAAAAAAGUCCGCUAGAAAAGCUGCAAUUUGGAGCUUAGCUCUACUUGAGAUGCAUUGAAAAGCUAUUUUUCAUAUAGAAGCUCACCCGAGAGAUUCGGAUUUAAAUCAAGACAACGACAAUUUUAAAAAUUCAAUUUAAAAUAAUUUUCAUUUUCAUUAUUAUUUAAACUGGUAUUUUUUAUUGCCAUAAUCAUACAAUUAAGAAUUUUGAAUUUAGCCUUUUAAUGGUGAGGAGGAUCUACUUUCAUUUGAUUGUUUAGAUAGAUAAACCAUAGGAAGAAAGGAGAGCUGAACAAAUGCAAAUAUUAAAUAACUAGGAGUUAAAUGUUUUGCACAAUCUUAUUAUUAUUCUUCUUAUGAGUUGUUGAUAUGUUUAUAGGAUAUUAUGCAUAUAACAUGGAUGCUUAAAAAUAUUUGUGAAUAUUUAUGUUGCCUUGUGGAUAUAUGAAAAAUUCUAUUGGCAUUUUGUAUUUGGGUAAAUAAAGUCAAAUAUUUAUGUUACCACUAAAGUUAAAAACUAUGAAAUUAUUUAUUACUUGGUUGUUGCCUCAAAAAUAAAUACACUAUUUAUUAUAUUAUUUAGACUAAAUUACAAAAUUAAGUUAUAGAUUAACAACACUUUACUAUCACUUUAGGAUAGUACAAUAUCAUAUAUUAUAUUAAUUUUAUUAUAUUAU